rnacentral:rRNA from 1 species
CCUACGGGAGGCAGCAGUGGGGAAUAUUGGGCAAUGGGCGCAAGCCUGACCCAGCAACGCCGCGUGAAGGAAGAAGGCUUUCGGGUUGUAAACUUCUUUUCUCAGGGACGAAGAAAGUGACGGUACCUGAGGAAUAAGCCACGGCCAACUAAGUGCCAGCAGCCGCGGUAAUACGGAGGUGGAAAGCGUUAUACGGAUUUAGUGGGUGUAAAGGGCGUGUAGGCGGGAGCGCAAGUCAGAUGUGAAAACUCAGGGCUCAACCCUGGGCCUGCAUUUGAAACUGUGUUUCUUGAGUGAUGGAGAGGCAAUCGGAAUUCCGUGUGUAGGGGUGAAAUGCGUAGAUAUACGGAGGAACACCAGUGGCGAAGGCGGAUUGCUGGACAGUAACUGACGCUGAGGCGCGAAAGCGUGGGGAGCAAACAGGAUUAGAUACCCCGGUAGUC